rnacentral:rRNA from 1 species
CGAGGCCUACGGGGGGCAGCAGUGAGGAAUAUUGGUCAAUGGCCGAGAGGCUGAACCAGCCAAGUCGUGUGAGGGAUGACGGCCCUACGGGUUGUAAACCUCUUUUGUCGGGGAGCAAGACCCGCCUCGUGCAGGCGGAGCGAGAGUACCCGAAGAAAAAGCAUCGGCUAACUCCGUGCCAGCAGCCGCGGUAAUACGGGGGAUGCGAACGUUAUCCGGAUUUAUUGGGUUUAAAGGGUGCGUAGGCGGUCCGUUAAGUCAGCGGUAAAAUUGCGGGGCUCGACCCCGUCGAGCCGUUGAAACUG